AUUGAACGCUGGCGGCAGGCCUAACACAUGCAAGUCGAGCGGAUGACGGGAGCUUGCUCCUUGAUUCAGCGGCGGACGGGUGAGUAAUGCCUAGGAAUCUGCCUGGUAGUGGGGGACAACGUUUCGAAAGGAACGCUAAUACCGCAUACGUCCUACGGGAGAAAGCAGGGGACCUUCGGGCCUUGCGCUAUCAGAUGAGCCUAGGUCGGAUUAGCUAGUUGGUGGGGUAAUGGCUCACCAAGGCGACGAUCCGUAACUGGUCUGAGAGGAUGAUCAGUCACACUGGAACUGGGACACGGUCCAGACUCCUACGGGAGGCAGCAGUGGGGAAUAUUGGACAAUGGGCGAAAGCCUGAUUCAGCCAUGCCGCGUGUGUGAAGAAGGUCUUCGGAUUGCAAAGCACUUUAAGUUGGGAGGAAGGGCAGUAAGCUAAUACAUUGCUGUUUUGACGUUACCGACAGAAUAAGGACCGGCUAACUCUGUGCCAGCCGCCGCCGUAA
rnacentral:rRNA from 1 species